GACCUCAGAUCAGACGAGGCUA
rnacentral:rRNA from 1 species